rnacentral:lncRNA from 1 species
UUGUAGGAAAUUAUUAUUGCCAACUCACUUAUAUUUGUCUCAUUUUGUUUCGCAUUUAUUUGCGACAUUGUUUUGUUUUGUUCUGUUAAAUGAGUUUGGCAAUUUUUGUAACCUUUCUGUUGGGCUCUUAAACCUAUCUGUGUGGUUAAAUCACAGACGAGUUCAUGGAGUUUGGAGUGUCUGGUGAACUCGGCACUUACUCGUAUCGGUGCUGUGAGUAUACGAGCACGUCUCUGGAGUAUGAGAUUGUGUAUAGAUCAUGAUCGCUAUUGUGCGUUUUCUUUUUCGGGAUUACCGAAAAAGGAUUCUCUGUAUUGUAGAAAUGCUUUGUGCAUUUCUUGUGUUUUCUUCUUGUGGAUUACCGGGGAAGAAUCCUCUGCUUUGUACUCUGCUUUGUGCGAGUACAUAUUUGUAUAAGAGACCCAUAUUGUCCCCACCUUAUUCGUCACUCAGCCUUAUUUUCAGUUUCAUUGUUAACUCAACUGUUUUAAAUUAUUGUCCUCCUAAUUCGCUAAAUAUUGUAGAUUGUUUCCAAAUUACAUUAUUGGUUUUGUAUUGUUUUUAUUUUUAAAACUCUGUGUUGGUAAGACACAAUCACUCAGUUGUUUAAAAUAUGAUUUUCUUUUAAAAUUUAUAUUCGUACUGGGCAUUUGGCUCACUCGUAUUAUUUUCUUUCCGCAGGUAAUCAGGGGUUAGCGGGACUUGAGAUGAGUGCUACCCACAUUAGUUUGUUAGAUUAUUUAAUAAAUUCUGGGACUUGUUUUAGUUGAUUUUAAACUUUUAUUAUUGUCAUUUGGAGGUUUUUGAAUUUCUUUUAGACAUUGAGAUUAUUAUUUCUUUUUCUCAGUUUUAAUAUUAUAUUAUUCAUGCUUGAUUUUCGGUAUUUCAUUGUUAAUUAAUAGCCUGAGAAAUUGGGUUGUUACAGUUGGUAUCAGAGCCAGGUUAUGAUUCUGUAGACUAGCCUUAGGGCAUUUGACCUGUGAGUUUGGGUUUACUUCGUAUGGGUAGAAGUAAGAUUUUUUAUAUAACGCUGCGAUAUUUACUCGAUUGAUGUUUACUCUAUACGUGUUUUCAUAAUAAAUGUUGCAGGAUGCCGCCUAGAAGAGAUACCUCGAGAGGACAACAAAUAGUAAUGGACAGGGAGACUUUCUUGGACAUGGUUAGGGAAGUUGCAAAUCAACAAAGACAAAAUCCGGGCGCUGAUAAUGUGCCAAAUCAAGAAGGUCAAACUAUAUUCGACCGUUUUAUGAAGCAAAGGCCUAACAGUUUCAAGGAAGCCAAACACCCUAUGGAUGCUGAGGCUUGGAUCGAUCACAUGGAGAAGAUAUUCCGUGUACUAAAUUGUUAUGAGGAAGAGAAAGCUCGCUUUGUUGCUUACCGUCUUGAAGGGGAUGCUGGCACAUGGUGGAAAUCAGUGGUGGCUUCCCAUCCGGCUGGAUAUGAGGACACACUCACUUGGAAUGUGUUUAAGGCGCAAUUUGAUCAGAGAUAUUUUCCUGCUAGUGUUCGUGAGGAGUAUGCUCGAGAAUAUCAGAGUAUAGCUCAGGGAGAAGACGAGUCAGUGGCCGAUUUUCAGGUUCGAUUUCAGAGAUUGGCUGGUUAUGCCCGAUCUAUUGCUGGGAACGAGCAAGAUAAGAUUAUGAAGUUUAAAUGGGCUUUGAAGGGUUCCGUACGCAACCAUAUCAUUUCUAAUCGCUACGCUACUAUGGAUAGUUUGGUGGACAGUGCUAGAGAUCAGGAGCUUCAUCAGAUUGACUACGCCAAACGUCUUGAGGUCCAGAAUAUGAAAAGAAAACGAGAGGAAAAUACGACUGAGGAAAAACAAGAUUUGCAGAGGGAUGAUAAAACUUUUGAUGGACUUAAGCAAAAUGGGUCAUCUAACAAGCAUCAGUGUGAAGAAAAAUCUCGUUGUAAGAAUUGUGGGAAGACCCAUGGCGGAAAUACAUGUCAUUGGACUACUGGCGCUUGUUUUAGAUGCGGAAAACAAGGCCACACUAUUCGAGACUGCAAGAAAUUGUUUAAUCAGCGCGAUGAUCAAGAUGGACAGACGAAAAAGAAUGCUACAAAUGAAUAAGGUAUUAAUUUUCGAGAUAUUUUAUAUACAGAUUAAGUUAUGAUUUCAUUUGUCUCAUAUAUGAAUAUUUUUGAUCUUAUGGAUUUAAAAUAUUUAUUUAUAUUUCAUCAUAGAUAAGUAAAUGUGUUUAUCUUUUGUUGACACAUGCAUUUAAUUUCGAGGACGAAAUUAUUGUAAGAGGGGAAGAAUGUGAUAUCCAACAUAAUUAUUAUAUUGAAUUAUAUUUUGUUUAGAUUUUGAGCAAAUAUCAAUAUUUCGUUCUUUUGUUUUAGAAAAAAAAAUAGAAUUUAGUUUGUUUAGUUAGUACUCAACUUAAGAAUCAUGAUAAGUAUGAGUAAUUUGUUAAUAUUAGAUAAGGAUAAAAUCUUGUGUUAAUAAUUAUAUUUGAGUUUUAUAGAAUUUGAUUAGAAAUAUAUUUGAAAAGAGAAUUAAAUUAGAAUUAAUAGUGUAAUUAGAAUUAGCUUAUCAGUUAAAAUCUAUAUAAGCACACGUAAGUCGUAACUAGUGGCAAACCCUACAUUUAAUACGCUGCGUGGAGGCUGUGAGAAGGGUAAAGAACAGAGGCACGGUGUUGAAUAUUUUGAAGUCAGGGGAACUCAUCCUCAAAUCAGAGCAACAAGGUACAUAUAUAAUUAAAUAGAUUUAUGUGGCUUAUGGGUAGGUGUACGUGUAUUAUAAUUUUGAACCAAACUUGAUUCAAGACUUGAAUUUCAAGUUGAGCGUUCUUCUGUGAUGUAUGUGCCAUAUGAUAUGUAUGCCAUGUGACUAAGCUUUUGUAUAAAACUUCACCAAUAGAAGAUAACAAAAUCAGGUAUAGUUUUUGUGAUGGUCGCAAAUUGGAAACAGUGUAGUCAAUCAGUACAUAAUCUAUCAAGGUUUAUAAAUCUGAAAAGGAUGUUGAUGCAUGUUUCAAAAUAAUGAUUUAUGUAAAUAUUUUAUAAUCGCUAAUGUAUAAAUAAUUACAUGUUUUAAUAAUAAAUUAUAAUUUUGUAAUAGAUUCUGGCCGGAGGUUUAGCGGAUUAUUUUCUGAUUUCCAUUAGUGUUUGAUUUCUAUUUUCGAGGUACGAAUUUCUUGACUCUUUCUCUUCUUUUAUAUUUAAAAUUACUAGUACGAAUUUCUUUAUUCUUUUCUCCUCAUUUAUAUUUUAAUCACUCGUUAUAUGUUUUUGAUCGGGUUAAUUAUAUUAAAUUGGGCCCUUGUACUUCACGUGUACUUUUGGUACCCAUUGUUCUAUUCUGUUCGUACUCUCUAUUGUGGGAAAUUAUUAUUGCCAACUCAGUUAUAUUUGUCUCAUUUUGUUUUGCAUUUAUUUGCGACAUUGUUUUGUUUUGUUCUGUUAAAUGAGUUUGGCAAUUUUUGUAACCUUUCUGUUGGGCUCUUAAACCUAUCUGUGUGGUUAAAUCACAGACGAGUUCAUGGAGUUUGGAGUGUCUGGUGAACUCGGCACUUACUCGUAUCGGUGCUGUGAGUAUACGAGCACGUCUCUGGAGUAUGAGAUUGUGUAUAGAUCAUGAUCGCUAUUGUGCGUUUUCUUUUUCGGGAUUACCGAAAAAGGAUUCUCUGUAUUAUAGAAAUGCUUUGUGCAUUUCUUGUGUUUUCUUCUUGUGGAUUACCGGG